GCCAAGUCCGCGCGGUGAAGGCUCCUCCUUCCAGUCAAGUUCCCUCGGGGCGUCUGUGCAGCCUACGCUUUCCGAACCGUCCACUUAAGGGAGUCUGUCCAGGACAAAAACUGGCCACUCUCUUUGGCUUUGGGUCCAAUAUGUAAAGCUGGUGUGUGGGACGGUGGAAGCUUCUCAAGGGUAAGGACGAUGUCUUCAGACGUGCUCAGUGUCCACCACUGAGGGCUUUGGAAUGAGCUGUCUGCGAUGGUGGAGAAUCUGCUAUCUUGGCUGAACCACCCUGCAGGGACUCCACUCUGCCAAAGGCCAGGAGGGGCUCCUCCCUAAGUCUAGGGGUUUUACUGAGACUUGGAACAGGCACAACAAAGGGUGUGAGCCUCCGGAGCCAGAGGCUGGCUAAUGAGUUAUUGCCACAGCGCUCAGACUUAUUAAGAGAUGUUGCAGAGGCACCCAGUACAUCGCCCCAGGAGGAACUCAGGAGGAAGAAGCCAAACACCCUGUGAUGAAGGGCUGUGUCCACAGAAAGGCACCACCAAGCAAGAAGGUAGGGCCUGAAGAAUCUUUACUCAGCCUCCUCAGCAGAUCCACUAAGCUCCACUUGAAACUGCACAAACACUUGGUGCUGAAGGCUGAGUUACAGGCCCUGUGAUACCAGGCCCUUCCCCUCCUCUGAUCUCACAAUGUUCCAGUGACAGGGAUCUGUCCUUUGUAAUGCUGCCAUGUCGGCAUGCUAUGCAUUUCAUGGCAGAGUAGCUACUAAAGGAGAAAUCUGUCCA